CGCUGCCGCCGCUUCUGCCACGUCCACCGGGCUGAGCCGAGCCGGGAAGCGGCCGGAGGGCGCCAGCACGUGUGCACCGCACUGACGUUCAUUUUCUUCAAGUCUGAGCUGGCUUCUUGGACAAAGCAAGCCUCGGGCACCAAAGGCCCUCUUUGGAUUGUAAGCACUUCGAAACGCAAAGAAGAACCACCACUAGAGGUUUUCACCCAGGAAUCGAGCACAUCAAAAGCAGAAGGGGAAAGCUUGGGCGUCAAGAGACCCAGUUCGCUUGUAUCGUGCGGAGCUUAAUUUUCAGUUUGCUGUUUUGGAGGGAGACAAAAGGCCUGACUAAGAAGGAGAAUGAGGCAGCUUAAAGGGAAGCCCAAAAAAGAGACGUCCAAAGAUAAAAAAGAGAGAAAGCAAGCCAUGCAGGAAGCCCGGCAGCAGGUCACGACGGUGGUGCUCCCGACACUGGCCGUGGUUGUGCU
rnacentral:lncRNA from 1 species